GCGAGGCAAUAUAAACAAGCGCAUUGCAGUUUGAAAAUCGUUUUCUCCAUUAAUCGUAUAGUAGCUAUUUCCAUAAAUACAUCGUUGCCUUUGGAAUCUCUCUGCGGAUGUGCUGUGCUUCUGAAAGAGAAGGUCACCCUGCGCUGUACAACUCAGAGAGUAUUUUUUUAUUGACAAAAAGUUGCGUUACAGAAUGACUCAUGAAGGGCUCUGCGUUCCUCAUCGAUGUUCGAAAAAACGACAAGAAGCCCUCGCGAAAAGCUCCCGCAUCUUUAACUUCCGAAGACCCUAAAGAGAAAUUAAACUAAUGACUCAUGAAGGGCUCUGCGUUCCUCAUCGAUGUUCGAAAAAACGACAAGAAGCCCUCGCGAAAAGCUCCCGCAUCUUUAACUUCCGAAGACCCUAAAGAGAAAUUAAACUGUAAAGUCUGCUAUGAAAAUGAUUCGGAAAUCAUGUUCAGGCCAUGCGGUCAUUUAGUGUGCUGUGCAAAAUGUUCAAGCAAGCUGCUGCUGUGCCUAAUUUGUCGGGGUGUCAUUUUCCAUAAGUGCUGGGCUUUCUUCUGUUAGUUUUUACUGUCUGUAUAAUACAUGUUCAUUCAUGUUCAUAGAAGAAAGAAGGUGGGGAAAAUAAA